rnacentral:rRNA from 1 species
GAUGAACACUGGCGGCGUGCCUAAUACAUGCAAGUCGAGCGAACAGACGAGGAGCUUGCUCCUCUGACGUUAGCGGCGGACGGGUGAGUAACACGUGGAUAACCUACCUAUAAGACUGGGAUAACUUCGGGAAACCGGAGCUAAUACCGGAUAAUAUAUUGAACCGCAUGGUUCAAUAGUGAAAGACGGUUUUGCUGUCACUUAUAGAUGGAUCCGCGCCGCAUUAGCUAGUUGGUAAGGUAACGGCUUACCAAGGCGACGAUGCGUAGCCGACCUGAGAGGGUGAUCGGCCACACUGGAACUGAGACACGGUCCAGACUCCUACGGGAGGCAGCAGUAGGGAAUCUUCCGCAAUGGGCGAAAGCCUGACGGAGCAACGCCGCGUGAGUGAUGAAGGUCUUCGGAUCGUAAAACUCUGUUAGUAGGGAAGAACAAAUGUGUAAGUAACUAUGCACGUCUUGACGGUACCUAAUCAGAAAGCCACGGCUAACUACGUG